rnacentral:rRNA from 1 species
CCUACGGGAGGCAGCAGUGGGGAAUAUUGCACAAUGGGGGAGACCCUGAUGCAGCGACGCCGCGUGAGUGAAGAAGUAUUUCGGUAUGGAAAGCUCUAUCAGCAGGAACGAGACAAGACGGUACCUUACUAAUAAGCCCCGGCUAACUACGUGCCAGCAGCCGCGGUAAUACGUAGGGGGCAAGCGUUAGCCGGAAUCACGGGGUGUAAAGGGAGCGUAGACGGUUGUGGAAGCCUGAAGUGAAAGGGGGGGGCCCAACCCCCGGAGUGCAUUGGGUACUGGACGGCUGGAGUGCAGGAGAGGUAAGUGGAAUUCCUAGUGUAGCGGUGAAAUGCGUAGAUAUUAGGAGGAACCCCAGUGGCGAAGGCGGCUUACUGGACUGUAACUGACGUUGAGGCUCGAAAGCGUGGGGAGCAAACAGGAUUAGAUACCCCUGUAGUC